AACUGAUACUACCUGCGGGAACCUGCGGAAGGAUCAUUAAAGAGUGAUGCCACCCUUCAAAGGGCUGGUAGUAAACUCCAACCCCCUAUGUUUUUAUUUACCUUUUUGUUGCUUAGGCGGUUCGUAAAGCUUUUUUUUUUUUAAAAAAAAAUGGCUUUCCAUUGGCUUUUUUCUUAGGCUGAUGAGUUUUAACCGCCAAAGGACUUAAAAACUCUUUGAAAUUUAUUGUCUGAGAUUUUU
rnacentral:misc_RNA from 1 species